UACGUAGGGUGCAAGCGUUAAUCGGAAUUACUGGGCGUAAAGCGUGCGCAGGCGGUUUUGUAAGCCAGGUGUGAAAUCCCCGGGCUCAACCUGGGAAUGGCAUUUGGGACUGCAAGGCUGGAGUGCGGCAGAGGAGACUGGAAUUCCUGGUGUAGCAGUGAAAUGCGUAGAUAUCAGGAGGAAUACCGAUGGCGAAGGCGGGUCUCUGGGCCGAUACUGACGCUGAGAAGCGAAAGCGUGGGGAGCGAACAGG
rnacentral:rRNA from 1 species